rnacentral:misc_RNA from 1 species
GUGAAAUUGUCUAUGUAGACCUUACCAUACAAUUCAACAUUUUCUAUUAUACAAUCAUGUUCCAACUGAAGAUUAUGUAUAUAACUUUUAAUUCGUUCUUACUCAAAUAUGUGUUGUGCCCUGUGAUAAUUAUUCAACUAAUAUAAUUGAAAAUUUCUUUUAACAUGAGUCACACCUAGACCAAUGAAUUUUUUGAGCUAUAUUGUAUUAUGUGCAAAAAAAUGGAGAUUAUCUCUCCUGUUGUGUACUCAUUUACAUGAAGCAUGGGAGUAGUUGCUCUGUGGAAUUACUUUAUCGGGUGUUACAUGAAUGACAAUGACUAUAUUCCGUUGGUUUAUUUUGUAAAAGGAUAACAGCUUAGAC